rnacentral:rRNA from 1 species
UAGGGAAUCUACCGCAAUGGACGAAAGUCUGACGGAGCAACGCCGCGUGAGUAAUGAAGGUUUUCGGAUCGUAAAACUCUGUUGUUAGGGAAGAACAAGUACAAGAGUAACUGCUUGUACCUUGACGGUACCUAACCAGAAAGCCACGGCUAACUACGUGCCAGCAGCCGCGGUGAUACGUAGGUGGCAAGCGUUGUCCGGAAUUAUUGGGCGUAAAGCGCGCGCAGGCGGUCCUUUAAGUCUGAUGUGAAAGCCCACGGCUCAACCGUGGAGGGUCAUUGGAAACUGAGGGACUUGAGUGCAGAAGAGAAGAGUGGGAUUCCACGUGUAGCGGUGAAAUGCGUAGAGAUGUGGAGGAACACCAGUGGCGAAGGCGACUCUUUGGUCUGUAACUGACGCUGAGGCGCGAAAGCGUGGGGAGCAAACAG